CCUGUGGUAGACAAGGUCUCUUCUCAACCAGCGCUGGACGUUGAGCUGCUGACAUAUUUAUUCUUUUUCACUCUCUCUCUCUCUUCUUUCUUUCUUUCCUUCUUUCAUUUUCUUUCUUCCUUUCUUUCUUAUUUAAUUAGGACAGGCUUGCUACAUACAAUGACUACGUUCAUCAUGGGGAAUUUGUACCUGAAAUGGAAAAUGAGCAAUGCCAGUUAUAUAGCAAUGAAAGAAGACGGAAGCCUUCCAGAACUAUAAAAGCCUCACCAAAUCUGUACUCAUCAGAGGAAUUCUGCUCCUGAAAAAGAUGAGGAGCCCUUGCCACAUCCCAAC
rnacentral:lncRNA from 1 species